CAGUUAGUGCGUGAAUUUUUCUUGCUUCCUGAUUGGAAGAUAUUACGAGACGUGAAUAAAUCAAAGUUUAUUGAUUGGUUAGGACAAUCCAAACCUAGUAAAUGUCCUUCAAUCCCGUAGAGUAUUGGAUUUGUGCUCUCUAUUUUAGCAAUUAGAUUUUGCCUGGUCAUUAAGGAGCUACCAUUUGAUUUUUAUGGGGGGGCUAGGAUGAAAAAUUUUGUCCUGCAUUUUUUUUUUAGCUGUAAUCUCUGUCCUGCCUAUUUAUUUUUCACUCUGUUCGGUCCUGCCUUUUUUUUUUAGUUUAUCCUGACUUUUUUUUUACCUAAAUUGUCGUCCUGACUUUUUUUUUUUUGCAAGCGUCUCAUCCUGCCUUUUUUUUUACUCAAAACUCCUGUCCUGCCUAUUUUUUUCAAAUUUCAUCCUAGCCCCCCCCAUAAAAAUCAAAUGGUAGCUCCCUUAAU
rnacentral:lncRNA from 1 species